GCCAGACAUUCCUCGGAAACAGCUGCGUCUGUGGGAGAAAUCAGCGGAUUACCUGAGGCGUAGAGGGGUUUGGAGACAGCCUUUUGCCGUCCCUCGACCCUGAAGCGGGGCAAACGUGGGAACUCCUUACUGCCAGAAAGAAAUGAGGUCUUGCUAUGUUGCCCAAGCUGGAGUACAGUUAGCAGGCAUGAUGAUAAUGCACUACAACCUUGAACUCCUGGGUCCAAGUGAUCCAUCUGCCUUAGCCUCCUGAGUAGCUGGGACUACAGUGCAGAUCUUUUCUCGUAUUAUUCACCACUUUGGAAGACGCAGAGAUAUUGACUGGCUGCUGACCGUAGAUCUGACAUGCUGGGGAGACCAGAGUGAUGAUUGUCCUGCAGUGCCUUCAGGAUAAAGUACAGAUGGCUUUGUUCCAAUGUGGAGGCCUGGAUGUUGUCAUCUCAAUACUCCAUCUGAUAACAGGAUUGAAAGAAGAAUUCCCAGACACAAUCAGACCUGCAGUUCACUUGGCUCAACCCAGCAAACUAUCACAGAAAGGGAUACAAAAGAAGUAUUUGCAGAAAGUAUAAAACUGUACUCUCUGGCAUCAGAAACAAAAUAUGAAGACUUGGCCAACAACCUGAUUCCUGAUUGCUUACUUCUUUCAAAUCUGAGACUCCUGACAACACAGCCGGACAUGAUCGAUAGUAACAUAACAACUGAGUGUCUACCAGGCUCAGCUGGACUGCCUUUCUUCAAGGAGUCUUCAAAUACUCUACGUGUUUCAGGAUUCCAGAUUUGUCAAAACCCCUGCAAAAAGGGCUGCCAAUAGAAGCUGCAAAGUCACUAUGACUUGUGGGUCCAAUUCCAUUUCGGUCUCUCCAGUUAUCAGAUUCGCUUCCACUUCCCAAGUGCUCGCGACUGUUGGAUCGUGAAAGGGACAUUGAUGAGCCCUGUAAACAGACAAGGCCAGAUAAGGAAAUGUUUAAUCAGGACUUUGGGAGAUCAACACAGGCAGAUCACUGGCGGUCAGGAGUUUGAGACCAGCCUGGCCAACAGAGCCAAACCCUGUGUCUAACAACAACCACCAAAAGAUUAGGAGGGAAGAUCCAAGAUGGCCAAAUAGGAACAGCUCUGGAGUGCAGUUCCCAGCAAGAAUGCAGAGGGUGAGUGAUCAUCGCAUUUCCGAACAAGUUUUUACUGCACAUAUGCCAGGACAUUCCAGGAAGAAAAGCACCAUGAGCCUCCAGCAUGGCUGUUUUGGCCAAAACAGCAGGUCUCCACACAAAAACUCAUACAAAUCAGGGCACCAUUUCAACUGGCACCUGGAACACCUGGAAGACAGAGCUGCCCAUUCAACUGAAAUAAAGGCUGAAACAAGGAGCCAGGUGAUCUGGCUUGGUGGGUCCCACCCCACAAAGACCAGCACUCUGAAAUGCUCUGGAUUGAGAGUUUCACAGUAAGCACAGCUGAACUCAGGACAGUCCAGCUCUGUCGGGGGGGAAGGGCGUUUGCCAAUACCAAAAAGUUUUAACCACACCUCUACAAACAAAACCACAAGGAAGUUCACACAGCAGCUGGGCAGAGCCCAUGACAGCUCAGAAACGCCUCUGCUGGCAGACUGUGACUAGGCUAUGUCCUCACUGGACAGGGCAUCUCUGAAAAAAGGCAGCAGCACCUCAGGAGCUUAUAAAUAAAGCUCCAACUUCCCAGGACAGAGCACCAGGGAAAAAAAGGCAGUUACGAGUUUCACUGUAGUAGACUUAAACAUACCUGCCCAGCAGCUCUAAACGGAACAACAGAGCUCACAGCUCAGCACUUGAGCUCCUAUAAGGGACAGACCAUCUCCUCAAGCAGCUUGCCGACCCCCCUAUAUCCAAACAGACACCUCAUAAAGAGCUCAGGCUGACAUCUGGUGGGUCUCCUUCAGGGACAAAGAUAACAGAAGAAGAAAAUGGCAACAACCCUUACUGUUCCGCACCCACUGCAGGUGAUCCCCAGGCAAGCAAGGUCUGGAGUAGACCUCCAGCAGUCCUAAAGCAAAGGGGCUUGACUGUUAGAAGGAAAACUAAAAAACAGAAAUAACUUCAUCAGCAACACAAAGGAUGUCCACUUAGAGACCCCAACCAAAAGUCACCAACUACAAAGACCACACAUAGAUAAAUCCACAAAGAUGUGAAGAAACCAGUGCAAAAAGGAUGAAACACCCAAAACCAGAAUGCCUCUCCUCCUCCAAGGGAUCACAACUCCUCACCAGCAAGGGAACAAGGUUGAAUGGACAUUGAGUCUGAUGAACUGACAGAAACAGGCUUCAGAAAGUGGGUAAUAACAAAUUUCUCUAAGUAAAAGAACAUGUUCUAACCCAAUGCAAAGAAACUAAAAAUGUUGAAAAAAGGUUUGAUGAAAUGCUACUGAGAAUAAACAACUUAGAGAAUAACCUAAAUAAAUUUAUGGAGCUGAAAAACACAACAGGAGAACUUUGAGAAGUAUACACAAAACAGCCAAAUUAACCAAGCAGAAGAAAGGAUAUCAGAGAUUCAAGACCAACACAAUGAAAUAAAAUGAGAAGGCAAGAUUAGAGAAAAAAGUAAAAAGAAAUGAACAAAGCCUCCAAGAAAUAUGGAUUUAUGUGAAAAGACCUGAUCUACCUUUGAUAGGUGUACAUGAAUGUGACAGAGAAUGAAUCCAAGCUGGAAAACACUCUUCAGUAUAUUAUCCAGGAAAACUUCCCCAACCGAGCAAGGCAGGCCAACAUUCAAGUCCAGAAAAUACAGAGAACACCACAAAGAUAUUCCACAAGAAGAGCAACACCAAGGCACAUAAUUGUCAGAUUCAUCAGGGUUGAAAUGAAAGAAAAAAUGCUGAGGGCAGCCAGAGAGAAAAGUCGAGUUACCCACAAAAGGAAGACCAUCAGACUCGAAGCAGAUCUCUCAGCAGAAACCCUACAAGCCAGAAGAGAGUGGGUGCCCAUAUUCAAUAUCCUUAAAACAACUUUCAACCUUGAAUUUUUUUUAUAUUGCAUUUUAGGUUUUGGAGUACAUGUGCAGAACAUGCAAGAUAGUUGCAUAGGUACACACGUGGCAGUGUGACUUGCUGCCUUCCUCCCCUUCACCCACAUCUGGCAUUUCUCCCCAUGCUAUCCCUCCCCAGCUCCACCCCACUGUCCCUCCCCAUUCCCCCUGAAUAGACCCCAGAGUGUAGUGCUCCCCUCCCUGUGUUCAUAUGUUCUCAUUGUUCAACACCCGCCUAUUAGUGAGAACAUGUGGUAUUUCAUUUUCUGUUCUUGUGUCAGUUUGCUGAGAAUGAUGUUCUCCAGAUUCAUCCAUGUCCCUACAAAGGACACAAACUCAUCAUUUUUGAUUACUGCAUGAUAUUCCAUGGUGUAUAUGUGCCACAUUUUCCCUGUUCAGUCUAUCAUAGAUGGGCAUUUGGGUUGAUUCCAGGUCUUUGCUAUUGUAAACAGUGCUGCAAUGAACAUUCGUGUGCAUGUGUCCUUAUAGUAGAACGAUUUAUAGUCCUUUGGAUAUAUAUCCAGUAAUGGGAUUGCUGGGUCAAAUGGAAUUUCUAUUUCUAGGUCCUUGAGGAAUCACCACACUGUAUUCCACACAAUGGUUGAACUAAUUUACACACCCACCAGUAGUGUAAAAGUGUUGCUAUUUCUCCACAUUCUCUCCAGCAUCUGUUGUCUCUGGAUUUUUUAAUGAUCGCCAUUCUAAAUGGCGUGAGAUGGUAUCUCAAUGUAGUUUUGAUUUGCAUUUCUCUAAUGACCAGUGAUGAUGAGCAUUUUUUCAUGUUUGUUGGCCUCAUGUAUGUCUUCUUUUGUGAAGUGUCUGUUCAUAUCCUUUGCCCAUUUUUGAAUGGGCUUGUUUUUUUCUUGUAAAUCUGUUUUACUUCUUUGUAAAUUCUGGAUAUAAGUUCUUUGUCAGAUGGGCAAACUGCAAAAAUUUUUUCCCAUUCUGUUGGUUGCCGAUUCACUCUAAUGACUGUUCCUUUUGCUGUGCAGAAGCUGUGGAGUUUGAUUAGGUCCCAUUUGUCUAUUUUGGCUUUUGUUGCCAAUGCUUUUGGUGUUUUGGUCAUGAAGUUCUUGCCUACUCCUAUGUCCUGAAUGGUUUUGCCUAGAUUUUCUUCUAGGGUUUUUAUGGUGCCAGGUCUUAUGUUUAAGUCUUUAAUCCAUCUGGAGUUAAUUUUAGUGUAAGGUAUCAGGAAGGGGUCCAGUUUCUGCUUUCUGCACAUGGCUAGCCAGUUUUCCCAACACCAUUUAUUAAACAGGGAAUCCUUCCCCCAUUGCUUGAUUUUGUCAGGUUUAUCAAAGAUUGUAUGGUUGUAGAUACGUUGUGUUGCCUCCAGGGCCUCUGUUCUGUUCCAUUGGUCUAUAUCUGUUUUGGUACCAGUACCAUGCUGCUUUGAUUACUGUUGCCUUGUAGUAUAGUUUGAAGUCCGGUAGUGUGAUGCCUCCUGCUAUGUUUUUUACUUAGAAUUGACUUGGUUAUGUGGGCUCUCUUUUGGUUCCAUACAAAGUUUAAGGUAGUUUUUUCCAGUUCUGUGAAGAAGGUCAUUGGUAGCUUGAUGGGGAUAGUGUUGCAUCUAUAAAUUCCUUUGUGCAGUAUAGCCAUUUUCACGAUAUUGAUUCCUCCUAACCAUGAACAUGGAAUAUUUCUCCAUCUGUUUGUGUCUUCUCUUAUUUUGUUGAGCAGUGGUUUGUAGUUGUCCUUGAAGAGGUCCCUUAUGAUCCUUGUAAGUUGUAUUCCUACGGUAUUUUAUUCUUUUUGUAGCAAUUGUGAAUGGCAGUUCAUUCUUGAUUUGGCUCUCUUUAAGUCUGUUAUUGGUGUAUAGGAAUGCUUGUCAUUUUUGCACAUUGAUAUUGUAUCCUGAGACUUUGCUGAAGUUGCUUAUCAGUUUCAUGAGUUUUUGGGCUGAGACAAUGGGGUCUUCUAGAUAUACUAUCAUGUCAUCUGCAAAUUGAGACAAUGUGGCUUCCUCCUUUCCUGUUUGAACACACUUUAUUUAUUUUUCUUGCCUAAUUGCUCUGGCUAGAACUUCCAGUACUAUAUUGAAUAAGAGUGGUGAGAGAGGCCAUCCUUGUCUAGUGCCAGAUUUCAAAGGGAAUGCUUCCAGUUUUUGCCCAUUCAGUAUGAUAUUGGCUGUUGGUUUGUCGUAAAUAGCUUUUAUUAUUUUGUGAUACGUUCCAUCAAUACUGAGUUUGUUGAGGGUUUUUAGCAUAAAGGGCUGGUGAAUUUCGUCAAAGGCCUUCUCUGCAUUGAGAUAAUCAUGGGUUUUUUGUUUUUGGUUCUGUUUAUGUAGUGAAUUACAUUUAUAGACUUGCAUAUGUUGAACCAGCCUUGCAUCCCAGGGAUGAAUCCUACUUGAUCAUGGUGGAUAAGCUUUUUGAUGUGCUGUUGCAAUUGGCUUGCCAGUAUUUUAUUGAAGAUUUUUGCAUCUAUGUUCAUCAUGGAUAUUGGCCUGAAGUUUUCUUUGCUUGUUGAGUCUCUGCCGGGUUUUGGUAUCAGGAAUGAUGUUGGUCUCAUAAAAUGAUUUGGGAAGGAUUCCCUCUUUUUUGAUUAUUUGGAAUAGUUUCAGAAGGAAUGGUAACAGUUCCUCUUUGUGUGUCUGGUAGAAUUCAGCUGUGAACUCAUCUAGACCUGGGCUUUCUUUUGUGUGGUAGGCUCUUAAUUGCUGCCUCAAGUUCAGACCUUGUUAUUGGUCUAUUCAUAGUUUCGGCUUCCUCCUGGUUUAGGCUUGGAAGGACACAAGUGUCCAGGAAUUUAUCCAUUUCUUCCAGGUUUACUAGUUUAUGUGCAUAGAGUUGUUUGUAAUAUUAUCUGAUGGUUUGAAUUUCUGUGGAAUCAGUGGUGAUUUCCCCUUUAUCGUUUUUUAUUGCAUCUAUUUGGUUAUUCUCUUUUCUUUUUUAUCAAUCUGGCUAGUGGUCUGUCUAUGUUGUUGAUCUUUUCAAAAAAACAGCUCUUGGAUUUGUUUUUUUGAAGGGUUUUUCGUGUCUCUAUUUCCUUCAGUUCUGCUCUGAUCUUAGUUAUUUCUUGUCUUCUCCUAGGUUUUGAGUUUUUUUCAUCUUGCUCUUCUAGCUCUUUCAAUUUUGAUAAUAGGGUGUCAAUUUUGGAUCUAUCCACUCUUCUCAUGUGGGCACUUAUUACUAUAUAUUUUCCUCUAGAGACUACUUUAAAUGCGUCCCAGAGAUUCUGGUAUAUUGUGUCUUUGUUCUCGUUGGUUUCAAAGAAUUUCUUUAUUUCUGCCUUCAUUUCAUUGUUUAUCCAGUCAACAUUCAAGAGCCAGUUUCCAUUCCAACAUUCAAGAGUUCAGUUUCCAUGAAGCUGUGUGGUUCUGAAUUCAUUUCUGAAUUCUGAGUUCUAACUUGAUUGCACUGUGGUCUGAGAGACUUAUGAUUUCAGUUGUUUUGCAUUUGCUGAGGAGGGCUUUACUUCCAAUUAUGUGGUCGAUUUUCAAGUAGGUGUGAUGUGCUGCUAAGAAGAAUGUAUAUUCUGUGGAUAUGGGGUGGAGAGUUCUGUAAAUGUCUAUCAGGUCUGCUUGUUCCAGGUGUGAGUUCAAGUCCUGGAUAUCCUUGUUAAUUUUCUGUCUGGUUGAUCUGUCUAAUAUUAACAGUGGAGUGUUAAAGUCUUCCACUAUUAUUGUGUGGGAGUCUAAGUCUCUUUGUAAGUCAUUAAGAACUUGCCUUAUAUAUCUGGGUGCUCCUGUAUUGGGUCCAUAUAUAUUUAGGAUUGUUAGCUCUUCUCGUUGUAUUGAUCCUUUUACCAUUUUGUAAUGUCCUCCUUUGUCUCUUUUGAUCUUUGUUGCUUUAAAGUGUAUUUUAUCAGAGACAAUUGCAACUCCUGCUUUUGUUUGCUCUCCAUUUGCUUGGUAAAUCUUCCUCCAUCCCUUUAUUUUGAUCCUUUGUGUAUCCUUGCAUGUGAGAUGGGUUUCCUAGAUACAGCACACCGAUGGGUUUUGGCUUUUUAUCCAAUUUGCCAGUCUGUGUCUUUCGAUUGGUGCAUUUAGCCCAUUUAUAUUUAGGGUUAAUAUUGUUAUGUGUGUAUUUGAUACUGACAUUUAGAUGCUAGCUGGCUGUUUUGCCUGUUAGUUGAUGCAGAUUUUUCAUUUUGUUGAUGCUCUUUACCAUUCGAUAUGUUUUUGGAAUGGCUGGUACUGGUUGUUCCUUUCUAUGUGUAGUGCCUCUUUCUGGAGCUCUUGUAAAGCAGGCCUGGUGGUGACAAAAUCUGAGUACUUGCUUGUUUGCAAAGGAUUUUAUUUUUCCUUCACUUAUGAAGCUUGGUUUGGCUGGAUAUGAAAUUCUUGGUUGAAAUUUCUUUUCUUUAAGAAUGUUGAAUAUUGGCCCCCACUCUCUUCUUGCUUGUAGGGUUUCUGCCAAGAGAUCUGUGAGUCUGAUGGGCCCCCUUUGUGGGUGACCCGACCUUUCUCUCUGGCUGCUCAUAGCAUUUUCUCCUUCAUUUCAACCCUGGUGAAUCAGACAAUUAUGUGCCUUGGGGUUGUUUUUGCGGAAUAUCUUUGUGGUGUUCUCUGUAUUUCCUGGACUUGAAUAUUGGCCUGCCUUGCUAGGUUGGGGAAAUUUUCCUGGAUAAUAUCCUGAAGAGUAUUUUCCAGCUUGGAUUCAUUCUCUUUGUCACAUUCAGGUAUACCUAUCAGACAUAGAUUAGGUCUGUUCACGUAGUCCCACAUUUCUUAGAGACUUUGUUCAUUCCUUUUUGUGCUUUUUUCUCUAAUCUUGCCUUCUCGUUUUAUUUCAUUGAGUUGAUCCUCGACCUCUGAUAUACUUUCUUCUGCUUGGUCAAUUUGGCUGUUGAGACUUGUGCCUGCUUCGCAAAGUUCUCAUGUUGUGUUUUUCAUCUCCAUCAAUUCACUCAUAUUCCUCUCUAAGUUGUCCAUUCUUGUUCUCAUUUUCUCAAAUCUUUUUUCAAGGUUCUUACGUUCUAACUCAAUGCAAAGAAACUGUUCUUUUAGCUUACGGAAGUUUCUCAUUACCCACCUUCUGAAGUCUACUUCCGUCAUUUUGUCACAGUCAUUCUCCGUCCAGCUUUGUUCCCUUGCUGGUGAGGGGUUUUGAUCCCUUGUAGGAGGCUAGGUGUUUUGGUUUCAGGUGUUUUCCUCCUUUUUCCGCUGGUUUCGUCCCAUCUUUUUGGAUUUAUCCACCUGUCGUCUGAGUAGUUGCUGACUUUCCGAUUAGGCCUCUGAGUGGACAUCCAGAUUGUCGAUGAUGUAGUAUUUCUGUUUCUUAGUUUUCCUUCUAACAGUCUAGCCCCUCUGCUGUAGGACUGCUGAGGUCCACUCCAGGCCCUGCCUGCCUGGGGAACACCUGUUGCAGCUGCAGAACAGUGAGGAUUGCUACCAGUUUCUUCUUCUGCUAUCUUUGUCCCAGAAUGAUGCCUGCCAAAUGUCAGUCUGAUCAGUCCUCUGUGAGGUGACUCUUUGGAUAUACGGGGGUCAGGGGGCUGCUUGAGGAAACAGUCUGUACUUUAUAGGAGCCCAAGUGCUGAGCUGUGAGCUCCACUGUUCAUUCAGGGCUGCUAGUCAGGUACAUUUAAGUCUGCUGCAGCAGAACUCAUAGAGCCCCUUUUUUUCCUCAGGUGCUCUGUCCCAGGGAGUUAGGGCUUUAUUUAUGAGUAUGUGUUGCACUGUCCUACACAGCAAGGAGGCAGUCUAGUCACUGCCAGCUUGCAGAGGCUAUGCUGAGCUGCUCUGGGCUCUGCCCUGCUGCCGAGGGCUCUGCCCUGCUGCUGUGUGUAAUUCCCUGUAGUCCUGUUUAUAUGGGUGUGGUUAGAACUGCUGUGGCAAUAGUGGCCCACCUCUGUAAUCUCAACCUCGAAUUUCAUAUCCAGCCAAACAAAGCUUCAUAAGCGAAGGAGAAAUAAAAUCCUUUAUGAACAAGCAAUUGCUCGGGGAUUUCAUAGCCGCCAGGCCUGCCUUAUAAGAGCUCCUGAAAGAAGCACUAAACAUAGAAAGGAACAACCGGUAUUACUCACUCCAAAAACAUUCCAAAUGGUAAAGAGAACUGACACAAUGAAGAAACAGCAUAAACUAAUGGGCAAAACAAUGAGCUAGUAUCAAAAUGGCACGAUGAAAUUCACAUAUAACAGUAUUUACCUUAAAGGUAAAUAGGCUAAAUGCCCCAAUCAAAAGACACAGACUGGCAAAUUGGAUAAAAAGUCAAAACUCUUUGGUGUGCCAUAUCCAGGAAACCCAUCUCACAUGCAAGGACACACAAAGAAUCAAAAUAAAGCAAAGAAAAGCAGGAGUUUCAAUCCUAGUCUCUCAUAAAAUAGACUUUAAACCAACAAAGAUCAAAAGAGACAAAGGAGGACUUUACAUAAUGGUAAAAGGAUCAAUGCAACAAGAGCUAAUGAUCCUAAAUAUAUACUCACCCAAUACAGGAGAACCCAGAUACAGAAAGCAAGUUCUAAAUGACCUACAAAGAGACUUAGACUCCCACACAAUAGUGGGAGACUUUUACACUCCACUGUCAAUUUUCUGUCUCGUUGAUCUGUCUCAUAUUGACAUAGAUACCCAGGACUUGAACUCAGAUCUGGACCAAGCAAACCUGACAGACAUUUAUAGAAUUCUCCACCCCAAAUCCACAGAAUAUACAUCCUUCUCAGCACCACAUCACAACUACUCUAAAACUGACCACAUAAUUGGAAGUAAAGCGCUCCUCAGCAAAUGCAAAACAACUGAAAUCAUAACAGUCUCUCAGACCACAGUGCAAUCAAAUUAGAACUCAGGAUUCAGAAACUAACUCAGAACCACACAACAUCAUGGAAACUGAAUAACUUGAAUGUUGACUGGAUAAACAAUGAAAUGAAGACAAAAAUAAAGAUGUUCUUCAAAACCAACGAGAACAAAGAAACAACAUCCCAGAAUCUCUGGGACACACUUAAAGCACUAUCUAGAGGAAAAUUUAUAGUAAUAAAUGCCCACAUGAGAAGCAAGGAAAGAUCUAAAAUCAACACCCUAUCAUCAAAAUCGAAAGAGCUAGAGGAGCAAGAUGAAAAAACUCAAAACCUAACAGAAGACAAGAAAUAACAAAGAUCAGAGCAGAACUGAAGGAGAUAGAGACACAAAAAAAACCUUCAAAAAUUUAAUAAAUCCAGGAGCUGGUUUUUUGAAAAGAUCAACAAAAUAGACCACUAGGCAGAUUAAUGAAAAGAGAGAAGGAUCAAAUAGAUGCAAUAAAAAACGAUAAAGGGGAUAUCACCACAGAUUCCACAGAAAUACAAACUACCAUCAGAGAUUACUAACAAACAACUCUAUGCACAUAAACCAGUAAACCUGGAAGAAAUGGAUAAAUUCCUGGACACUUGCACCCUCCCAAGACUAAACCAAGAAGAAGUCGAAACCCUGAAUUGACCAAUAACAAGGGCUGAAGUGAGGCAGCAAUUAACAGCCUACCAAGCAAAAAAAGCCCAGUUUCAUAUGGGUUCACAGCUGAAUUGUACCAGACAUACAAAGAGGAGCUGGUACCACUCCUUCUGAAACUAUUCCAAACAAUCCAAAAAGAGGGAAUCCUUCCCAAAUCAUUUUAUGAGACCAACAUCAUCCUGAUACCAAAACCUGGCAGAGACUCAACAAGAAAAGAAAACUUCAGGCCAAUAACCAUGAUGAACAUAGAUGCAAAAAUCUUCAAUAAAAUACUGGCAAACCAAUUGCAACAGCACAUCAAAAAGCUUAACAUGAUCAAGUAGACUUCAUCCUGGGGAUGCAAGGCUAGUUCAACAUACAAAAGUCUAUAAACAUAAUUUACCAAAUAAACAGAACCAAAGACAAAAACUACAUGAUUAUCUCAAUAGAUGCAGAGAAGACCUUCAACAAAAUUCAACAGUGCUUUAUGCUAAAAACUCUCAAUAAACUAGGUAUCGAUGGAAUGUAUCUCAAAAUAAUAAAAGCUAUUUAUGACAAAUCCACAACCAACAUCAUACUGAAUGGGCAAAAACUAGAAGCAUUCCCUUUGAAAUCUGGCACUAGACAAGGAUGCCCUCUCUUACCACUCCUAUUCAAUAUAGUGUUGAAAGUUCUAGCUAGAGCAAUCAGGAAAGAAAAAGGGUAUUUGAUUAGGAAAGGAAGAAGUCAAAUUGUCUCUAUUUGCGGACAACAUGAUUGUAUAUUUAGAAGACCCCAUCUUCUCAGCCCAAAAUCUUCUGAAACUGAUAAGCAACUUCAGCAAAGUCUCAGGAUACAAUAUCAAUGUGCAACAAUCACAAGCAUUCCUAUACACCAAUAACAGACUUAAAGAGAGACAAAUCAAGAAUGAACUCACAUUCACAAUUUGCUACAAAAAGAAUAAUAUACCUAGGAAUACAACUAACAAAGGAUGUAAAGGACCUCUUGAUGGAGAACUACAAACCACUGCUCAACGAAUUAAGAGAGGACACAAACAGAUGGAGAAACAUUCCAUGCUCGUGGUUAGGAAGAAUCACUAUGGUGAAAAUGGCCAUACUGCCCAAAGUAAUUUAUAGAUUCAAUGCUAUCCCCAUCAAGCUACCAAUGACCUUCUUCACAGAACUGGAAAAAUCUACCUUAAACUUCAUAUGGAACCAAAAGAGAGCACACAUAGCCAAGUCAAUUCUAAGCAAAAAGAACAAAGUGGAAGGCAUCACACUACCUGACUUCAAACUAUACUACAAGGCUACAGUAAUCAAAACAGCAUGCUACUGGUACUAAAACAGAGAUAUAGACCAAUGGAACAGAACAGAGGCCUCGGAGGUAACAUCACACAUCUACAACCAUCUGAUCUUUGACAAACCUGACAAAAGCAAUGGGGAAGGGAUUCCUUGUUUAAUAAAUGGUGUGGGGAAAAGUGGGUUGCCAUGUGCAGAAAGCAGAAACUGGACCUCUUCCUGACACCUUACACUAAAAUUGACUCCAGAUGGAUUAAAGACUUAAACAUAAGACCUAGCACCUUAAAAACCAUAGAAGAAAACCUAGGCUAUCCCCAUCAGGAAUAGCCUAUUCAGUACAUAGGCAUAGGCAAGGACUUCAUGACUAAAACACCAAAAGCAUUGGCAACAAAAGCCAAAACAGACAAAUGGGAUCUAAUUAAACUCCAGAGCUUCUGCACAGCAAAAGAAACAAUCAUUAGAGUGAACCAGCAACCAAGAGAAUGGGAAAAAAUUUUUGCAAUCUACCAUCUGACAAAGGGCUGAUAUCCAGAAUCUACAAAGAACUAAAAUAAAUUUACAAGAAAUAAGCCCAUUCAAAAGUGGGCAAAGGAUAUAAACAGACACUUUUCCAAAGAAGACAUAUAUGAGGCCAACAAACAUAGGAAAAAAUGCUCAUCAUCACUGGUCAUUAGAGAAAUGCAAGUUAAAACCACAUUGAGAUACCACCUCAUGCCAGUUAUAAUGGCAAUCAUUAAAAAAUCCGGAGACAACAGAUGCUGGGGAGGAUGUGGAUUUACACUAUUGAUGGGAGUGUAAAUUAGUUCAACCAUUGUGGAAGACUGUGUGGUGAUUCCUCAAGGACCUAGAAAUAGAAAUUCUAUUUGACCAAGCAAUCCCAUUACUGGGUAUAUAUUCCAAAGGAUUAUAAAUAUUAGAAAGACACAUGCACACAUAUGUUCAUUGCAGCACUGUUUACCAUAGCAAAGACCUUGAACCAACCCAAAUGCCCACUGAUGAUAGACGGAACAAGGAAAAUAUGGCACAUAUACACCAUGGAAUACUAUACAGCCAUAAAAUGUGAUGAGUUAGUGUUCUUUGUAGGGACAUGGAUGAAUCUGGAAACCAUCAUUCUCAGAAAACUGACACAAGAACAGAAAAUCAAACACCGCAUGUUCUCACUCAUAGGUGGGUGUUGAACAAUAAGAACACAUGGACCCAGGGAGGGGAGCAUCACACACUGGGGUCUGUUGGUGGGGACUAGGAGAAGGAAAGCAGGGAGAAGAGAGUUGGGGAAGGAUAAAAUGGGGAGAAAUACCAGAUACAGGAGACAGGAAUGGAAGCAGCAAACCACACUGCCAUAUAUGUACCUAUGCAACAAUUCUGCAUGUUCUACACAUGUACCCCAGAACCUAACGUGCAAUAAAAUAUAUUUAAAAAACUAAAUCAUAAAAAAAAUUGUAAGUGCCAGUAAUCCCAGCUACUUGGAAGACUGAGGCAGAAAAAUCAGUUGAACCAAGGAGGCACAGGUUGCUGUGAGGCAAGUUUGCACCUCUGUACUCCAGACUCUAUCUCAAAUCAGAAUAAAGAUGAAAUAAAAAAAUUUUUAAAUAUCACUAAGAACUGACAACACAUCAUGGUAAUCACUGGAUGCCCUCUCCAAUGCCCUUCUCAGCACAACCUGAAUGAGACGGCUCAGAUGAGUGACGUCACUCACCAAACUAUACAUCUGGUCAGUGGUCGUUAUCAGAACAUUGUACUUGACUGCUCCAUUAACAAAAUGAACAUCAUUUUUAACUUGUCCUCUUAUUGGUCUUAGAAAGCAGAACGGAAUGAGCAUUUCUAAAGUAAAUAUUUCAUCUUUGAAACUGGAGGAACACAGUCAAUAACCUAGCACACUUCACUCUGUCAAAAGCAAGGAUGGGCUGAAAGGGGUAACCAUACAUCAGGUGAAACUCUUAAGAAUAAGCACAGCAGUUUUAUGGUCUCUGCUAACAAAAAAAGAUGUUUAUUUUCUCUGUGUUAAAAUGGAAGAAAGAAGAGUGUACCUCCUAGAGCCUCAUCAUUUUUCAUAAUGUUCCUGCAUUCUGCUGCUGAAGUAACUUCAAUCUUUAAAAUACAGCCUGCCAGGUUGCGACUAUACCUCUGACAAUGAAAUUCAUAGGAGACUAUUUCUUUUAAUUUUUUAAUAGUAUUUUCUUUUUCAUUUACUCAAAAGACACAAAGAAAAAAGCAGCAUGUUUGCUUUUGCAUUUCAUCAAGAGACUAAUUUAUUACAAAGAAACUGGGUGGAGAAAAGGUCAAUCUACAAAUACUAGUUAUUAGACUAAUAAUUGUGAAACCCUUAACCAGUAUUUGUUUUUCGUCCUACAGUGCUCUCUCUGGGUGAACACUGUGACUCUUGAAUUAAUCAUUUUCAUCCAUGUUUGGGUCUGUACUCCCCUAGCAUUGUGUAUGUGUGCACACACACUCUAGCCCCACCCCCACCCCCACUCCCAAAGGCUUAGAGCCAAAAUCUGAUACUUUGAAAUGGAAAAGGCCUGCUUGGUGAAUCACGUGUAGCCUGGCUGAGGAGUAGGGAACUCUGUAUCCCUCUUCCAUAUGGUAGGAAUGCCAGCUUCCCAGACUCAACCCAAGCAGUGUAGCCAACAUCUGGGAAACAUAAAAAUUUUGGAGCUUUUGUUUGAGAUACUUCUUGCUGUGUUCUUGGCACAUCUGAACACACUGAAUUUUUAACUCAUAUUUGAAAACCUAUUUUUGUUGAAUAUUUUCUUUUUCCCCCUUUGUUGGCCUUGCUAAUGAAACCCUUGGAUAAAAGGACUCUUUAUACAUUUUUAUGGAAUAUUACAUCUGCUCUUUGCUUAGUCUCUCAGCCCUAUACUAAUCAUUUAUGACACAACUCACCCUUAACAAAACACACAUCCAAAUUUACAUCUCUUUAAGAGCUGAUCAACAACUUUGAGAGAAUACAGAUAAAAGAUCAUAAUACACAACAAUGCAUCAGUAUGUUUAUAGGAAUAAAAAUAAAAAAAAGUGACCACUUAUUAUCUUUCCUAAAGUACAUGAAGAAUGAGGGUGGGGGAAGCACUGUCCUCUUUUGCUGAGAGAACAGACAGGAAGAAUGGGUAGGACAUCACUCCACAAACCUCAU